AACGAACGCUGGCGGCAGGCCUAACACAUGCAAGUCGAGCGAAGCCUUCGGGCUUAGCGGCGGACGGGUGAGUAACGCGUGGGAACGUGCCCUUUGCUACGGAAUAGCCCCGGGAAACUGGGAGUAAUACCGUAUGUGCCCUUCGGGGGAAAGAUUUAUCGGCAAAGGAUCGGCCCGCGUUGGAUUAGGUAGUUGGUGGGGUAAUGGCCUACCAAGCCGACGAUCCAUAGCGGGUUUGAGAGGAUGAUCAGCCACACUGGGACUGAGACACGGCCCAGACUCCUACGGGAGGCAGCAGUGGGGAAUUUUAGACAAUGGGGGAAACCCUGAUCUAGCCAUGCCGCGUGAUCGAUGAAGGCCUUAGGGUUGUAAAGAUCUUUCAGUGGGGAAGAUAAUGACUGUACCCACAGAAGAAGCCCCGGCUAACUCCGUGCCAGCCGCCGCCGUAAGAC
rnacentral:rRNA from 1 species